rnacentral:rRNA from 1 species
AUUGAACGCUGGCGGCAGGCCUAACACAUGCAAGUCGAGCGGAUGAAGGGAGCUUGCUCCUGGAUUCAGCGGCGGACGGGUGAGUAAUGCCUAGGAAUCUGCCUGGUAGUGGGGGAUAACGUCCGGAAACGGGCGCUAAUACCGCAUACGUCCUGAGGGAGAAAGUGGGGGAUCUUCGGACCUCACGCUAUCAGAUGAGCCUAGGUCGGAUUAGCUAGUUGGUGGGGUAAAGGCCUACCAAGGCGACGAUCCGUAACUGGUCUGAGAGGAUGAUCAGUCACACUGGAACUGAGACACGGUCCAGACUCCUACGGGAGGCAGCAGUGGGGAAUAUUGGGCGAUGGGCGAAAGCCUGAUCCAGCCAUGCCGCGUGUGUGAAGAAGGUCUUCGGAUUGUAAAGCACUUUAAGUUGGGAGGAAGGGCAGUAAGUUAAUACCUUGCUGUUUUGACGUUACCAACAGAAUAAGCACCGGCUAACUUCGUG